UACAGAGGUCCCAAGCGUUGUUCGGAUUCACUGGGCGUAAAGGGUGCGUAGGUGGUGGGGUAAGUCGGAUGUGAAAGCUCGGAGCUCAACUCCGAAAUGGCAUUGGAAACUACCCUGCUAGAGGAUUGGAGGGGGGACUGGAAUACUUGGUGUAGCAGUGAAAUGCGUAGAUAUCAAGAGGAACACCAGUGGCGAAGGCGAGUCCCUGGACAACACCUGACACUGAGGCACGAAAGCUAGGGGAGCAAACAGG
rnacentral:rRNA from 1 species